rnacentral:rRNA from 1 species
GACGAACGCUGGCGGCGUGCUUAACACAUGCAAGUCGAACGGAAAGGCCCUGCUUUUGUGGGGUGCUCGAGUGGCGAACGGGUGAGUAACACGUGAGUAACCUGCCCUUGACUUUGGGAUAACUUCAGGAAACUGGGGCUAAUACCGGAUAGGAGCUCCUGCUGCAUGGUGGGGGUUGGAAAGUUUCGGCGGUUGGGGAUGGACUCGCGGCUUAUCAGCUUGUUGGUGGGGUAGUGGCUUACCAAGGCUUUGACGGGUAGCCGGCCUGAGAGGGUGACCGGCCAAAUUGGGGAAGAGAGAAGGCCCAGAGUCCGAGGGGGGGGAGGAGGGGGGAAGAGUGAAAAAGGGGGGGAAGGCGGAUGCAGCAAGCCCGGGUGGGGGAGGGGGGCCUUGGGGGUGGAAACCGCUUUCGCCGGGGAAGAAGGGGGGGGGAGGGUAAGGGGUAAAGAAGCACGGGAUAACUAAGG